UACAGAGGGUGCAAGCGUUGUUCGGAAUUAUUGGGCGUAAAGCGCGUGUAGGCGGACUGGAAGGUCUGGUGUGAAAGCCCGGGGGCUCAACCCCGGAGGGUCACUGGAAACCGACAGUCUUGAGUCCGGAAGAGGAGAGUGGAAUUCCUGGUGUAGCGGUGGAAUGCGCAGAUAUCAGGAGGAACACCUAUGGCGAAGGCAGCUCUCUGGUACGUGACUGACGCUGAGACGCGAAAGCGUGGGGAGCGAACAGG
rnacentral:rRNA from 1 species